AAUAUUGGACAAUGGGCGCAAGCCUGAUCCAGCCAUACCGCGUGGGUGAAGAGGGCCUUCGGGUUGUAAAGCCCUUUUGUUGGGAAAGAAAUCCUGUUGAUUAAUACUCGGCAGGGAUGACGGUACCCAAAGAAUAAGCACCGGCUAACUUCGUGCCAGCAGCCGCGGUAAUACGAAGGGUGCAAGCGUUACUCGGAAUUACUGGGCGUAAAGCGUGCGUAGGUGGUUGUUUAAGUCUGUCGUGAAAGCCCUGGGCUCAACCUGGGAAUUGCGAUGGAUACUGGGCAACUAGAGUGUGGUAGAGGGUGGCGGAAUUCCCGGUGUAGCAGUGAAAUGCGUAGAGAUCGGGAGGAACGUCCGUGGCGAAGGCGGCCACCUGGGCCAACACUGACACUGAGGCACGAAAGCGUGGGGAGCAAAC
rnacentral:rRNA from 1 species